AGUGAACGCUGGCGGUAGGCCUAACACAUGCAAGUCGAACGGCAGCACAGUAAGAGCUUGCUCUUACGGGUGGCGAGUGGCGGACGGGUGAGGAAUACAUCGGAAUCUACUUUUUCGUGGGGGAUAACGUAGGGAAACUUACGCUAAUACCGCAUACGACCUACGGGUGAAAGCAGGGGAUCUUCGGACCUUGCGCGAUUGAAUGAGCCGAUGUCGGAUUAGCUAGUUGGCGGGGUAAAGGCCCACCAAGGCGACGAUCCGUAGCUGGUCUGAGAGGAUGUACACCCAACCGGGAACUGAGAAACGGUCCAAACCCCCAGGGGAGGCAGCAGGGGGGAAUAUUGGAAAAUGGGGGCAAGCCUGAUCCAGCCAUACCGGGUGGGGUAAGAAGGCCUUCGGGUUGUAAAGCCCUUUUGUUGGGAAAAAAAAGCAGCGGGUUAAUACCCCGCUGUUCUGACGGUACCCAAAAAAAAAGCACCGGCUAACUUCGU
rnacentral:rRNA from 1 species